GGAUGCGAUCAUACAAGCACUAAAGCACUGGAUCCCAUCACAACUCCGAAGUUAAGCGUGCUUGGGCGAGAAUAGUACUAGGAUGGGUGACCUCCUGGGAAGUCCUCGUGUUGCAUUCC
rnacentral:rRNA from 1 species